rnacentral:rRNA from 1 species
GACGAACGCUGGCGGCGUGCUUAACACAUGCAAGUCGAACGAUGAAGCCUAGCUUGCUAGGUGGAUUAGUGGCGAACGGGUGAGUAAUACGUGAGUAACCUACCUUUAACUCUGGGAUAAGCCCGGGAAACUGGGUCUAAUACCGGAUACGACCAAUCUCCGCAUGGGGUGUUGGUGGAAAGCGUUAUGUAGUGGUUAUAGAUGGGCUCACGGCCUAUCAGCUUGUUGGUGAGGUAACGGCUCACCAAGGCGACGACGGGUAGCCGGCCUGAGAGGGUGACCGGCCACACUGGGACUGAGACACGGCCCAGACUCCUACGGGAGGCAGCAGUGGGGAAUAUUGCACAAUGGGCGGAAGCAUGAUGCAGCGACGCCGCGUGAGGGAUGACGGCCUUCGGGUUGUAAACCUCUGUUAGCAGGGAAGAAGAGAGAUUGACGGUACCUGCAGAGAAAGCGCCGGCUAACUACGUG